rnacentral:rRNA from 1 species
GAGUAACACGUGAGUAAUCUGCCCCUGGCUUUGGGAUAGCCACCGGAAACGGUGAUUAAUACCGGAUAUGACGACCUUUCGCAUGAUGGGUUGUGGAAAGUUUUUCGGCCAGGGAUGUGCUCGCGGCCUAUCAGCUUGAUGGUGAGGUAAUGGCUCACCAUGGCUUCGACGGGUAGCCGGCCUGAGAGGGUGACCGGCCACACUGGGACUGAGACACGGCCCANACUCCUACGGGAGGCAGCAGUGGGGAAUAUUGGACAAUGGGCGGAAGCCUGAUCCAGCAACGCCGCGUGAGGGAUGACGGCCUUCGGGUUGUAAACCUCUUUCAGCAGGGACGAAGCGCAAGUGACGGUACCUGCAGAAGAAGCACCGGCCAACUACGUGCCAGCAGCCGCGGUAAUACGUAGGGUGCGAGCGUUGUCCGGAAUUAUUGGGCGUAAAGGGCUCGUAGGCGGUUUGUCGCGUCGGGAGUGAAAACCAGGUGCUUAACACCUGGCUUGCUUUCGAUACGGGCAGACUAGAGGUAUUCAGGGGAGAACGGAAUUCCUGGUGUAGCGGUGAAAUGCGCA